rnacentral:rRNA from 1 species
GACGAACGCUGGCGGCGUGCUUAACACAUGCCAGUCGAACGAGAGCGUAGAGAAAGCUUGCUUUUUCUACAAUCUAGUGGCAAACGGGUGAGUAACGCGUAAACAACCUGCCCUACGGAUGGGGACAACAGCUGGAAACGGCUGCUAAUACCGAAUACGUUCCGAAAGUCGCAUGACUAUCGGAAGAAAGGAUGGCCUCUAUUUAUAAGCUAUCGCCGGAGGAGGGGUUUGCGUCUGAUUAGCUAGUUGGAGGGGUAACGGCCCACCAAGGCGACGAUCAGUAGCCGGUCUGAGAGGAUGAGCGGCCACAUUGGAACUGAGACACGGUCCAGACUCCUACGGGAGGCAGCAGUGGGGAAUCUUCCGCAAUGGGCGAAAGCCUGACGGAGCAACGCCGCGGGAGUGAAGACGGCCUUCGGGUUGUAAAGCUCUGUUAUACGGGACGAAUAAUCUUGUGGUUAAUACCCAUGAGAAGUGACGGUACCGUAAGAGAAAGCCACGGCUAACUACGUG